rnacentral:lncRNA from 1 species
GAACAUUUUAAAUUCUAAAAUUUGUUAGCCUCGUUGGAAUUGAAAGUUCUGUAUGUUAGUUAGGAACAACGUAAUUUAAUGUCUAGAAUAACAUAUUUUUACUCUAGUGUUACAUGACUUUAUAGAUGGUACAAAGAUCUUUGUGUGGUAUAACAAGAAAAUUCUAAAACUAUUAGUUCUGUAACUACUUUAAACUUAAAUUAUCUAAACUUCUGACAGUUACCACAGGAAACAUUUAAAAGUAAUCCUAGAAAGUGCAAAAUGUGUCAAGUUUGAUAUAUGUUAAAAGAAAAGCUUCAUUUCUUCUUAAACUAAUUGACAAUAAAGAGUUACCUGUCUAUCUGUCUUUGUCUAACAUUUUCCAGCUGGAUAAAUUCAAUUAUUACUAAACUUGACAAAAAGCAAUGAUAUUAUUAAUGAAAUUAACACAUGAUGUUAAAUUUUUACCACAAUAUUCCAGUGAUUUUUAAUUAAGUGCAUGUAAUUAGAGAUAAGAGGAGUUCAUAGGUGAGAAUGUGAAUUAUUCGAGUUUGUUAUUCUUAUUUUUGAUAGAAUAGCAACCUAUCAUUUGCACAUUUCAAAAGUUAAAUAUUAUCAUGUUUCUAGAUUAUUACCUACAAUUUAAGUAUACCUCUGUCCUUCUCAGGAAACUCAUUUGUUACACUUAACAGGGCCAUUACAUUUAUAUGUGUCAAACAUGGAGUGUCAAAGGUCAAAGAGUCCUCUAAAACCUUGACAGCAUUUAGGUAGGUAGGUAGGUGGGUGGGUGGGUAGAUAGAUAGACAGACAGACAUGAACAUGGAUACUAUGACAUUAAGUGAAUUACAAAAUUAUUAUAAUCUUUAUGCUAUAUAGACACACAAAAAUAUAUUUAAAAAUAGCACAUAUAUUUAAGAUGAGGGUUUUAAAUAGAAUGGAAAAGUUCCGUUUGAUUCAGUUCAACAAACAACUAUGAAUUUUAUCUUAUGUGUUUGGCUCUGUAUCAGGUCCCAGAUAUCCAUAUGUCAAGUUCCUGCUUCAAGGACUGAAGCUGUCAAAAAGGUCUCUUUAUGCACCUGGUUACAUCAAGUCAUAAUGGAGAGAUAAUUCUGUUUCCUCAACCACAUUAUCAUCUAAUUUUCUACUUCUUGAAGAAGCUUGGGCAAUCUACAUGAAACCCAACAGAACUGAGGAAACUUGAUAUGAACAUUAUCAAGCAAGUAUUCUAUAUUAUUCUUUCUGUUUUGUCCAUGAAAGAGAAUUGUUGAAUCUAACAGUUUACUGUGUUUUUU